GAGAGGAGCAAGGGGAAAUGCAGCAAAGCUCUGCAGAGGCAGGGAGGAAACUUGGCCUUACAGCAAGCACGUGCCUGUGGUGCCUGUUCAGCCUGCUUGGAGCAGAGUAGCUUGCAGCAGUGACCGGUGCUUGGGCUGAGAUAAUCCAGGGGUAAUAAAACCAGGGUCCAGAACAAGGCACGCUCUGAUAGCGCGGCAGUGACCUAUGGAGCCCAGCAAGCGUGCCAAAGUCAUAGUGAGAACAAAAGCCCAUCAACUCAAACUCUGGUGGGAAGAACUCAGUGAAAAACCACUAGCUUAUGAUGGACUCUGAUCAAAGACUUUCUGGGAGGAAGAAGUGAGAUGUUAGCUGGAAAUAUUACCCCCUUUCCUUUUGCCAUGAUGAUCCUGCCGGUAAAGCCCUCUUGACGAAGUGUCUCUGCACACACCAAGGCAGCCACACCUACAAGAGAUGCUCGUCUCAGCCCUCUUACACAUCGCUAUGGAGUAGGAGGAAGAAGUCAGGUCCUCCCUGGAGAAGAGUGGCAGCUCACACCAUAUGUGGGCAGGGCACAGUACAGGCCACUUCACUGACCUCCCCCCAGCAGCAGCAUCGUGUCCCGGUUGUAGGGGCAUCGCUUGCUUGUGUCCUUCACCCUCCGGCUGUUUUCAAGAUCCUAGAAGAAAAUGAGAAAUGCUGAAAUCAAACCCAGCCCAAGGUGCUGCUUGUGCUUGGUGACAGCAGGAUCUGUGCUGGCUGUGAGGGGGAUACCAGGAUGUGUGGCAUCACCUUUGAUUGAAAGGAGCUUUAGGACAGGGAGUUGGAUGAUCCCAAGAAAUCAUCCCAUCUGUAGCUCUGCGCGACCUAGACCCGGGAGCUGUGGCCAGACCAGGGUGCUUCCAGCUGGUGUCAGGGGCACAGAGCUGGUGAGAGUGAAUGAACGUGAGUGGAAUGGAGGAUGUGGCCCAAGCUGGGAGGAGGAAGAGACAAGAAGUCACCUUGAAGCAGGGAAGACAGUCCAGCGAAGGGUAUUCCUCGAUGUCUCCAGUUCGGAUAUUAAAGCAGGAGCCAUGCCAAGGGCAGCGCAGCCUCUCCCCUCUCAAGACUCCUGCAGUAGAAAAGCCCCCCAGAACUGAGCAGAGAGGACUGACCCCCUGCCAUGGCUUCUCCCCCCUGCCCGGUGCCGGCGUUACCUUUGGUGAGUGGGGCGUUGUAGUGGGGGCACUUACUGCCCAGGGCGCUGAACUCCAUCUUGUUCCUCACCAGCAGCACCGGGUAGCCAGCCACCAUCACCUCCCGGAGCCUGCGGGAGCAGCGGGGAGGUGGGCGCCCUGGGGGGCGGGGUGCGGCCCCUCACAGCCACCACGUUGCUCCCUCAGCCCACAACACAACGUGGCGGCCGCCAGCAUGGCGCCUGUCACCAUGGCGAUGCCAGCGCUGCUGCCUGCGGGCCUCAUGGCAGCAGGCCAGGCCCCGGGUACUCACUCUCCAUCCCCAACGUCGGCC